UGGGGAAUUUUGGACAAUGGGCGAAAGCCUGAUCCAGCCAUGCCGCGUGAGUGAAGAAGGCCUUCGGGUUGUAAAGCUCUUUUAGUCGGAAAGAAAAGAUCAUAAUGAACAAUUAUGAUUCAUGACGGUACCGACAGAAAAAGCACCGGCUAACUACGUGCCAGCAGCCGCGGUAAUACGUAGGGUGCGAGCGUUAAUCGGAAUUACUGGGCGUAAAGGGUGCGCAGGCGGUUUUGUAAGUCAGAUGUGAAAUCCCCGGGCUUAGCCUGGGAAUUGCGUUUGAAACUGCAAGACUAGAGUGCAGCAGAGGGGAGUGGAAUUCCAUGUGUAGCAGUGAAAUGCGUAGAGAUGUGGAAGAACACCGAUGGCGAAGGCAGCUCCCUGGGUUGACACUGACGCUCGUGCACGAAAGCGUGGGGAGCAAACA
rnacentral:rRNA from 1 species